UUGCUGCCAUACUGUGGGAGA
rnacentral:piRNA from 1 species